AACGCUGGCGGCAGGCCUAACACAUGCAAGUCGAACGGUAACAGGAAGAAGCUUGCUUCUUUGCUGACGAGUGGCGGACGGGUGAGUAAUGUCUGGGAAACUGCCUGAUGGAGGGGGAUAACUACUGGAAACGGUAGCUAAUACCGCAUAACGUCGCAAGACCAAAGAGGGGGACCUUCGGGCCUCUUGCCAUCGGAUGUGCCCAGAUGGGAUUAGCUAGUAGGUGGGGUAACGGCUCACCUAGGCGACGAUCCCUAGCUGGUCUGAGAGGAUGACCAGCCACACUGGAACUGAGACACG
rnacentral:rRNA from 1 species